UGAUACGAUCGAUGGUAUC
rnacentral:siRNA from 1 species